rnacentral:rRNA from 1 species
GAAAUGACUGCUAAUACCGCAUAAGACCACGGAGCCGCAUGGCUCAGUGGGAAAAACUCCGGUGGUAUGAGAUGGACCCGCGUCUGAUUAGGUAGUUGGUGGGGUAACGGCCUACCAAGCCAACGAUCAGUAGCCGACCUGAGAGGGUGACCGGCCACAUUGGGACUGAGACACGGCCCAAACUCCUACGGGAGGCAGCAGUGGGGAAUAUUGCACAAUGGGGGAAACCCUGAUGCAGCGACGCCGCGUGAGCGAAGAAGUAUUUCGGUAUGUAAAGCUCUAUCAGCAGGGAAGAAAAUGACGGUACCUGACUAAGAAGCACCGGCUAAAUACGUGCCAGCAGCCGCGGUAAUACGUAUGGUGCAAGCGUUAUCCGGAUUUACUGGGUGUAAAGGGAGCGUAGACGGCUGUGUAAGUCUGAAGUGAAAGCCCGGGGCUCAACCCCGGGACUGCUUUGGAAACUAUGCAGCUAGAGUGUCGGAGAGGUAAGUGGAAUUCCCAGUGUAGCGGUGAAAUGCGUAGAUAUUGGGAGGAACACCAGUGGCGAAGGCGGCUUACUGGACGAUGACUGACGUUGAGGCUCGAAAGCGUGGGGAGCAAACAGGAUUAGAUACCCUGGUAGUCCACGCCGUAAACGAUGACUACUAGGUGUCGGGGAGCAAAGCUCUUCGGUG